AUUUGACAGAUUAUCUAACCUCAAAAGUCAUCAACAACAAUAUCUCGCUUCGCGAAGCAGAGUGACACUUUUCCUGCUACAUUCGUCCGUUUCGUAUAAAAACGCGUCGAAUCAGCCUGAUUUCAUCAAUAUCGAAGUGUUGUGUUUAAUUAAUCUAUCAUCUACUACUUGCACCGCCAUUCGAUCCCAACACCUGAGCAGUAUCCUUCACGCAUUUUGUUUAUAAUGGGAGUACACAUACGAGUGAUAGCAUUCAAUUCAAUAUCAAUAUUAUAACUUAGCGGGCUAUAAGUGUGAUUGAUGACUUCUAUAUAUUAUGAAUUUUGUUGCAGCGACACUGGAAAGUUGAUCUUCAAGCCCACACAACCCUCUUUUCCCCAUGAGAUUUAGAGUAUUCGCAACCUCUUGAUAUUUUGAAAACUUUGAGUUCUACAAAAGAAUUUGGAGGAUGGAGGUAACGAGAAAUUGAAGGCACACCUAACAGAACAGAUGUAUGAAAAUCUUGGAAUGGUAAUGGUUUUUACAAUGGUCAGUGCAGCUCAAGAAUGGCUGAACGUACAGUGGGACAAGAUAAACCUGAGGAGAGAGGAGACUGCGGCACAAAAACUGAAGGAGGAAAAGGAUGGAGAAGGGAAUAUUGAAAACACGGGCUAAGACGUUCGAAAUAUAUUCAUUCCCCCAGACGACAAUCGUAAUGGUUUUAUAGACUAUUUGAGAGAACUCUCGUAACUGUCGAACCUUUUUCAAGCUGGAAAGAGAACUUUGAUGAAGAAAUGGGCUACACGAAACGGAAAGAAUUAGCGGAUAGCGAGGGCAAAAAGUUAA
rnacentral:lncRNA from 13 species